rnacentral:lncRNA from 1 species
CUCCCAAGGCUGCUCCUCCUCCCGGAGGAGAGCUUCUUCCUGCUCGUGUCCCCGGCAAAUGCUUCCCUCUCAGCCCCUCCACGCUCAAGGAACUCGUUCCGGUCCCAACCAGAGCCAGCCGCAGCGGGGAAGGGCAGAAACAAGUAGUAAUAAGCAAAGCACUUCCGGCUAAGCUGAGCCUGGGGGCGGGGCCCGCGGUGGCCGACGCCCUAUGUGGGCGUUCCGGCAAAGAGAGAGUCUAGUCCAGGGAAUCCUCUGGAAAAAAACGCUAAUGCGGCCGUGGAGGCGGUGGCGCGGAGGAUGAUUAGAUAAAGUGCGCUGCCCUCGGCGGAGGGAUUAUGUAGUUUGUAGAAAGGCAUCGUUACGAAACCCUCUACCCAAGGGAUUUCAGUUUUGUCCUGUUGGAUUUUUUUCCCUGAUGGCCCAUGACCUCACAGGAAUGCGAUGGAGCCGGCUCCCCGGGGAGCUCAGGCCUACUGUGGAUGUAGUGCCGAUGCCUUGGGCCUGAGCUGUGCACACUCCAGGGCGCGCCAUGGCUGUAGACCUCGAGGUCACCGACACCGUGCCCUUCCCCACCCCCACUUUCCUGUGUGUGGGCCCUCUCUUCCCACUCCCUCCGGGUGGGCUUUGCGGCAGCGCCCGACUGGUGACUUCAUGGGUGUGUCAAAAUAAUUCAAGGAACCUCAUUAACUUUAUUAACACAGUUAAGCAACAGUUCUACAACCUUUUUGGUCUAAGAGCAGAGGUUUCCAACUCAAAGACUGCUCACUUGGGAGCUCCUGGAACCAGAUUAAAAUAAUUUCAAGUAUUGUAACUUACCAUUGGGAGGAGAAUACUUUUAAGGAAGAAGGUCUUUUAAGAUUUUUCACAUCAUGCUGUAUAUCCCUUAAAUCAUACAAUGCAGGUAAGUGCCUACUUUGACCUCUAAGGCUAGCUUCAGCAAAUGAUCAAGAGCACUAUAUAUUAGUGCACCUGCAGAUUUUGGUUACUGUUGUGCAAAAACCCCAAGGGAGCACGAUUUAUUUAAAGUUGAUUUAAAUUCAGGUCAGCAUGGUACAAUAUAUGUUUUUAGACAUAUGUGACAACAUUGUAACAAACACAGAUGCAAUUACUGUACUGUAAAUGUAAACUGGCAAGUUCUGAUUUGGGCCCAUUUUCUACCCUUACACAUGGUGUUUA